rnacentral:rRNA from 1 species
CAAGUCGAGCGGGCGUAGCAAUACGUCAGCGGCAGACGGGUGAGUAACGCGUGGGAACGUACCUUUUGGUUCGGAACAACUGAGGGAAACUUCAGCUAAUACCGGAUAAGCCCUUACGGGGAAAGAUUUAUCGCCGAAAGAUCGGCCCGCGUCUGAUUAGCUAGUUGGUGAGGUAAUGGCUCACCAAGGCGACGAUCAGUAGCUGGUCUGAGAGGAUGAUCAGCCACAUUGGGACUGAGACACGGCCCAAACUCCUACGGGAGGCAGCAGUGGGGAAUAUUGGACAAUGGGGGCAACCCUGAUCCAGCCAUGCCGCGUGAGUGAUGAAGGCCCUAGGGUUGUAAAGCUCUUUUGUGCGGGAAGAUAAUGACGGUACCGCAAGAAUAAGCCCCGGCUAACUUCGUGCCAGCAGCCGCGGUAAUACGAAGGGGGCUAGCGUUGCUCGGAAUCACUGGGCGUAAAGGGUGCGUAGGCGGGUCUUUAAGUCAGGGGUGAAAUCCUGGAGCUCAACUCCAGAACUGCCUUUGAUACUGAGGAUCUUGAGUUCGGGAGAGGUGAGUGGAACUGCGAGUGUAGAGGUGAAAUUCGUAGAUAUUCGCAAGAACACCAGUGGCGAAGGCGGCUCACUGGCCCGAUACUGACGCUGAGGCACGAAAGCGUGGGGAGCAAACAGGAUUAGAUACCCCUGGUAGUCCCCCCUUUAACGAUGAAUGCCGCCGUUAGUGGGUUACUCACU